rnacentral:rRNA from 1 species
UACGUAGGGACCAAGCGUUGUUCGGAUUUACUGGGCGUAAAGGGCGCGUAGGCGGCUUGAUAAGUCACUUGUGAAAUCUCCGGGCUUAACUCGGAACGGCCAAGUGAAACUGUCAUGCUAGAGUGCAGAAGGGGCAAUCGGAAUUCUUGGCGUAGCGGUGAAAUGCGUAGAUAUCAAGAGGAACACCUGAGGUGAAGACGGGUUGCUGGGCUGACACUGACGCUGAGGCGCGAAAGCCAGGGGAGCAAACGGG